AUUGAACGCUGGCGGCAUGCCUAACACAUGCAAGUCGAACGGCAGCACAGUCGUAGCAAUACGAUGGGUGGCGAGUGGCGGACGGGUGAGGAAUGCAUCGGAAUCUGCCCGAUCGUGGGGGAUAACGCAUCGAAAGGUGCGCUAAUACCGCAUGAGAUCGAGAGAUGAAAGCGGGGGACCGCAAGGCCUCGCGCGAUCGGAUGAGCCGAUGCCGGAUUAGCUAGUUGGCGGGGUAAAGGCCCACCAAGGCGACGAUCCGUAGCUGGUCUGAGAGGAUGAUCAGCCACACUGGGACUGAGACACGGCCCAGACUCCUACGGGAGGCAGCAGUGGGGAAUAUUGGACAAUGGGCGCAAGCCUGAUCCAGCAAUGCCGCGUGUGUGAAGAAGGCCUUCGGGUUGUAAAGCACUUUUAUCGGGAGCGAAAAGCGGACGGUGAAUACCCGUCCGUGCUGACGGUACCCGAGGAAUAAGCACCGGCUAACUUCGUGCCAGCCGCCGCGGUAACAC
rnacentral:rRNA from 1 species